rnacentral:rRNA from 1 species
AUACGUAGGUGACAAGCGUUAUCCGGAUUUACUGGGCGUAAAGGGCGUGUAGGCGGUCUUGCAAGUCAGAAGUGAAAUUCCUGAGCCCAACUCGGGCGCUGCUUCUGAAACUGCAGGACUUGAGUGCUGGAGGGGAUAGCGGAAUUCCUAGUGGAGCGGUAAAAUGCGCAGAUAUUAGGAGGAACACCGGUGGCGAAGGCGGCUAUCUGGACAGUAACUGACGCUGAGGCGCGAAAGCACGGGGAGCAAACAGGAUUAGAUACCCUGGUAGUCCGUGCCGUAAACGAUGAAUACUAGGUGUAGGGGGUAUCGACUCCCUCUGUGCCGCAGUUAACACAUUAAGUAUUCCACCUGGGGAGUACGGCCGCAAGGUUGAAACUCAAAUGAAUUGGCGGGG